AUGAACGCUGGCGGCGUGCCUAAUACAUGCAAGUCGAGCGAACAGACGAGGAGCUUGCUCCUCUGACGUUAGCGGCGGACGGGUGAGUAACACGUGGAUAACCUACCUAUAAGACUGGGAUAACUUCGGGAAACCGGAGCUAAUACCGGAUAAUAUAUUGAACCGCAUGGUUCAAUAGUGAAAGACGGUUUUGCUGUCACUUAUAGAUGGAUCCGCGCCGCAUUAGCUAGUUGGUAAGGUAACGGCUUACCAAGGCAACGAUGCGUAGCCGACCUGAGAGGGUGAUAGCCCACACUGGAACAGAGCCACGGUCCAGACUCCUGCGGGAGGCAGCAGUAGGGAAUCUUCCGCAAUGGGCGAGAGCCUGACGGAGCAACGCCGCGUGAGUGAUGAAGGUCUUCGGAUCGUAAAACUCUGUUAUUAGGGAAGAACAAAUGUGUAAGUAACUAUGCACGUCUUGACGGUACCUAAUCAGAAAGCCACGGCUAACUACGUG
rnacentral:rRNA from 1 species